CCUUGGCCUGUUCAGUAGUUAACUCAAUCUUCAAGGCCCCACAUUCUCCUCGAACCUUAGAAAGGUCCUGCAAAGUCUUUUUCAAGGUAUGAGAUUGAGCAGUCCAAUCCUCAUCUAACUUCUUGAAAUUCUUAUUCACAGUGGCCAUAUCCAGGCAUUUCCUAUAAAACUCAUCAUCUAGGUCUUUGAUCUUAUGCUUUGCCCUCCUCAGCUCAUUUUCCAAAGAGUGAGUGUCUCGGAAAUUAGACAUCGAUGAGAGACGACCUAUAAACAGAUGUGCAAGCUGCAAAAGCAGAAAUAAUAUGAGUAUAAAAAAGUUAAACAGAUAACACAAGUAUAUACUUACGUUAGUGAUAUUCUGGCCAACUUCCUUGACAUAUCGAUCCAUGGGGUAUCCAGAAAUCAUCCGCAAAGUAGCCCGAACAGCAUCUAUCUCAGCAAUCAGCGGAAACUUAGUCCCAUAGUUUUGUGGAUGGGAGCAAGGGUAAUUGGGCGACUGAGUCUCGCGAGUGGUAGCAUAAGAGAAUCUGCUUCGGGAGGACUCGCCCUCAUAAAACCUCCGUUGAGGAGGGGACCUUCUCCUAGGAGGAGACUUCUGGGUUUUCUUCGGAUGGGGAGGGGCAGACUUAGAAGGAGGAGACUUCCUUUUUUCAGACCUCCCUUUCUCUCCUCCCUUCCCACUCUCCUUGUCAGAACCCUUACCCUUU
rnacentral:lncRNA from 1 species